GAACUAACGCUAGCGGCGUGCCUAACACAUGCAAGUCGUACGAGAAAGUCGGCUUCGGUCGGCGAGUAAAGUGGCGCACGGGUGAGUAACGCGUGGAUAAUCUACCCUUGAGUUGGGAAUAACGUGCCGAAAGGUGCGCUAAUACCGAAUAAUACUGAGUGACUAAUGUUGCUUAGUCAAAGAAGGCCUCUGCUUGCAAGCUUUCGCUGAAGGAUGAGUCCGCGUACCAUUAGCUAGUUGGUAGGGUAAUGGCCUACCAAGGCAACGAUGGUUAGCUGGUCUGAGAGGAUGACCCCCCACAAUGGAACUGAAACACGGUCCAUACACCUACGGGUGGCAGCAGUAGGGAAUAUUAGUAAUGGGCGAAAGCCUGAACUAGCAACGCCGCGUGUGCGAAGAAGGCCUUCGGGUCGUAAAGCACUUUUUAAAAAAAUAAAAAAAAACAAUACUCUCAAAAUAAGUCUCGGCUAACUACGUGCCAGCAGCCGCGGUAACACGUAGGAGGCAAACGUUAUCCGGAUUUACUGGGCGUAAAGCGCGUGUAGGUGGUUUGGUAAGUAGGGCGUGAAAGCUCCUGGCUCAACUGGGAGAGGACGUUCUAAACUACCAAGCUUGAGGAUGGUAGAGGGAGGUGGAAUUCCGGGUGUAGCGGUGGAAUGCGCAGAUAUCCGGAGGAACACCAGUGGCGAAGGCGGCCUCCUGGACCACUCCUGACACUCAGACGCGAAAGCUAGGGUAGCAAACGGGAUUAGAGACCCCGGUAGUCCUAGCCCUAAACGAUGUAGACUUGGCGUCGGUGGUUUAAUCGCCAUCGGUGUCGUAGCUAACGCGAUAAGUCUACCGCCUGGGGACUACGGCCGCAAGGUUAAAACUCAAAGGAAUUGACGGGUCCCCGCACAAGCAGCGGAGCGUGUGGUUUAAUUCGAUGCUACACGAAGAACCUUACCUGGGUUUGACAUAGAGGUAGUAGGGAAGCGAAAGCGGACCGACCCUUCGGGGAGCCUCUACAGGUGUUGCAUGGCUGUCAUCAGCUCGUGUCGUGAGAUGUUCGGUUAAGUCCGCUAACGAGCGCAACCCUCGCUGUGUGUUACAAGUGUCACACGGUACUGCCGAUAUUAAGUCGGAGGAAGGUGGGGAUGACGUCAAGUCAGCAUGACCUUUAUAUCCAGGGCUACACACACGCUACAAUGGCCAGUACAAUGGGUUGCCAAGCCGCGAGGCGGAGCCAAUCCUAAAAAGCUGGCCUCAGUUCAGAUUGCAGUCUGCAACUCGACUGCAUGAAGUUGGAGUUGCUAGUAACCGCAGGUCAGCAAUACUGCGGUGAAUACGUUCCCGGGGAU
rnacentral:rRNA from 1 species